rnacentral:snRNA from 10 species
GGAUGUGAGGGCGAUCUGGCUGCGACAUCUGUCACCCCAUUGAUCGCCAGGGUUGAUUUGGCUGAUCUGGCUGGCUAGGCGGGUGUCCCCUUCCUCCCUCACCGCUCCAUGUGCGUCCCUCCCGAAGCUGCGCGCUCGGUCGAAGAGGACGACCAUCCCCGACAGAGGAGGACCAGUCUUCGGUCAAGGGUAUACGAGUAGCUGCGCUCCACUGCUAGAACCUCCAAACAAGCUCUCAAGAAAUGAGAACAACACCAAAAGAGAGCAUAAGAUAAAGGGGGUGUCUCAGUCUGUUUGGGCUGACUGAUACCAU